rnacentral:tRNA from 1 species
AGUAUUACGCCGGAUGAACGGAAAUCAUUGAUGUUGAUUAACAUGGGGAAAGUAAUUCCUCUAAUACUA